GUCACAUCCUCCCUUAAUGUCAGCAUCUUACAUGUUAAACAUCUAUAUUACCCAACAUAUGUAUUCCUCAGACAACACCUUGUAUUACACUCAUGGAACAACAAUUCUAGUAGAUAUGAUGGCUGAAACUUAAAAUGUACAUAGACGUCUUCAGCAUGAUAGCACGUAAGUGGCAUAAUCAUUCUCAAAUAAAGAAUUAACACUAUCAUAGUUGUAUAUCAGAACUUGUUUUUCUGAACUUGUUUUUCUUCUUUGUCUAAAAUUCAAAUUGCAUACAAAACUUCAACUUACUGACAUUAACAUAAAGUACUAUCUGAACUUUGAUUUCCAAAGAUAAAUUUCUGGUUAGAGAUAAUAGAUAACUU
rnacentral:misc_RNA from 1 species